rnacentral:rRNA from 1 species
ACUCGAGUGGCGAACGGGUGAGUAACACGUGGGUGAUCUGCCCUGCACUCUGGGAUAAGCCUGGGAAACUGGGUCUAAUACCGGAUAGGACCAUGCUUUAGUGUGUGUGGUGGAAAGUUUUUCGGUGUAGGAUGAGCCCGCGGCCUAUCAGCUUGUUGGUGGGGUAAUGGCCUACCAAGGCGGCGACGGGUAGCCGGAUGAGAGGUUGGUCGGCCACAUUGGGACUGAGAUACGGCCCAG